rnacentral:piRNA from 1 species
UGUUAUAAAUAAUUUCUGAAUGUUCUUGC